AGUGAACGCUGGCGGUAGGCCUAACACAUGCAAGUCGAACGGCAGCACAGUAAGAGCUUGCUCUUACGGGUGGCGAGUGGCGGACGGGUGAGGAAUACAUCGGAAUCUACUUUUUCGUGGGGGAUAACGUGGGGAAACUUACGCUAAUACCGCAUACGACCUACGGGUGAAAGCAGGGGAUCUUCGGACCUUGCGCGAUUGAAUGAGCCGAUGUCGGAUUAGCUAGUUGGCGGGGUAAAGGCCCACCAAGGCGACGAUCCGUAGCUGGUCUGAGAGGAUGAUCAGCCACACUGGAACUGAGACACGGUCCAGACUCCUACAGGAGGCAGCAGUGGGGAAUAUUGGACAAUGGGCGCAAGCCUGAUCCAGCCAUACCGCGUGGGUGAAGAAGGCCUUCGGGUUGUAAAGCCCUUUUGUUGGGAAAGAAAAGCAGCAGGUUAAUACCCCGCUGUUCUGACGGUACCCAAAGAAUAAGCACCGGCUAACUUCGUG
rnacentral:rRNA from 1 species